rnacentral:rRNA from 1 species
UCGGGGGGACGUUGGCGGAAUGAGCGGCGGACGGGUGAGUAACACGUAAAGAACCUGCCCUCAGGUCUGGGAUAACCACGAGAAAUCGGGGCUAAUACCGGAUGGGUCAUCGGACCGCAUGGUCCGAGGAUGAAAGGCGCUUCGGCGUCGCCUGGGGAUGGCUUUGCGGUGCAUUAGCUAGUUGGUGGGGUAACGGCCCACCAAGGCGACGAUGCAUAGCCGACCUGAGAGGGUGAUCGGCCACACUGGGACUGAGACACGGCCCAGACUCCUACGGGAGGCAGCAGUAGGGAAUCUUCCACAAUGGACGAAAGUCUGAUGGAGCAACGCCGCGUGAACGAUGAAGGCCCUCGGGUCGUAAAGUUCUGUUGUAAGGGAAGAACAAGUGCCGCAGGCAAUGGCGGCACCUUGACGGUACCUUGCGAGAAAGCCACGGCUAACUACGUGCCAGCAGCCGCGGUAAUACGUAGGUGGCAAGCGUUGUCCGGAAUUAUUGGGCGUAAAGCGCGCGCAGGCGGCCUCUUAAGUCUGAUGUGAAAGCCCCCGGCUCAACCGGGGAGGGCCAUUGGAAACUGGGAGGCUUGAGUAUAGGAGAGAAGAGUGGAAUUCCACGUGUAGCGGUGAAAUGCGUAGAGAUGUGGAGGAACA